UUAUUGGAGAGUUUGAUCCUGGCUCAGGACGAACGCUGGCGGCGUGCCUAAUACAUGCAAGUCGAGCGRAUCUCACCUUCGGGUGAGAUUAGCGGCGGACGGGUGAGUAACACGUAGGCAACCUGCCUGUAAGACUGGGAUAACUAUCGGAAACGAUAGCUAAGACCGGAUAAUUGSUUUGUUCGCAUGAGCAAAACAUGAAACACGGAGCAAUCUGUGGCUURCAGAUGGGCCUGCGGCGCAUUAGCUAGUUGGUGAGGUAAUGGCUCACCAAGGCGACGAUGCGUAGCCGACCUGAGAGGGUGAUCGGCCACACUGGGACUGAGACACGGCCCAGACUCCUAC
rnacentral:ncRNA from 1 species